rnacentral:piRNA from 1 species
UGCCAGUGCCUGUUCCUACAUGGAGAUUGGU